UACAGAGGGUGCGAGCGUUGUCCGGAAUCACUGGGCGUAAAGGGCGCGUAGGCGGCGCGGUAAGCGUGCGGUGAAAGCCCGGGGCUCAACCCCGGGUCGGCCGUGCGGACUGCCGGGCUGGAGCACUGUAGAGGCAGUGGAAUUCCGGGUGUAGCGGUGGAAUGCGUAGAGAUCCGGAAGAACACCGGUGGCGAAGGCGGCCUGCUGGGCAGUAGCUGACGCUGAAGCGCGACAGC
rnacentral:rRNA from 1 species